rnacentral:lncRNA from 1 species
UUCCGAUUUGGUCAGAAAAUGGAAAUGUUUCCGUUUAGGGCAAUAGACGUAUCCAAAAGAAAUCACCUUACAAUGGUUUGUCAAGUAGAAAACUGCAAGUGAGGAGGAAAUAAAAAUGCUCUGUGUAUCCUGGAUUUUCAGGUUUGACUCCACUGUGGAGUAACUUUGGACAGUCACAUCCUGAUUUCAAUUUAGACACAUAACUAAUUUUUCUUGAGCAGCCUAAGUUGUCUGAGAGCACUGAGUGCCCAGGUACAUGUUAGUUAUGAAACCUGUUUUGUUUUAGUGAUACCAGGAACAACAUAGGCAUGUUAGUUACAAGAUCUCCAAUUGGAGCUGUCCAGGAGUCCAUCUGCAUGAUAUAAUUUGCAAGAUUAGAACUGCUAAUUUUUAGAAACUUCAGAAUGACAGAGCUGCAUACACAAAACAGGGAGAUUGUUAAGUUUUUAAAAUUAGAGUAUCUACUUAUAGUACAGACUGUACAGAUAUGUAACUUAAAAAAAUACUCUGUCUAGAUUUUGAACUCACCUGAAUUGUUUAUAUGUCUUUUUAAAAGAAACACAUAAUUAGAACCAUCUUUAUUAUUUAAUGACAGAAGGCCCAGCAAACUUUUGUUUUGUUAUUGACACUUGCAGAACAACAGCUAGAGACUUAGCAAAGUGAGGACAGAAGGUAUGUGCAGUAUCAUUGGAGAAGCAUGUGGAAUACAAACACGGGAAGGAGACAAGAAAAGCAAAGAUCUGCAUAAUGAUAAUCCUUACAGACCAUUAAUGGAUAUCACACCAUGUCUGAGAGUCUUGCUCACUGUUGUUUGUAGUUGCUCCUGCCCUGGAUCAGGUGAGUACCUCAAAGUCUCCUUCUAAUGCCUUGUGUUGAAAUGUAUUGCAUGAUAGGCUGAUGCACAGUAAUUUAUAUUUUCCUAAGGCCUAAAUAUUUAAAAAAAAAAGCUUUAAUAAUGUAGUCAGCAUGGCCCAGAAUCAGAUACAAUAGAAUUUCAUUGCAAACUCAUCUUUCCUCCCUUUCUUGAUGUUUUCUUUUAUGGCAGUAACCACCAAAGACCCAGACUAUAUUUCAACGACAGUUUUCAUUAUUUUUAAGAGACAUUCAAAUGAAUGUGAAUGUAGUUGGCUUCAAAUUCCAAGUAAAUUCAAAUACUAAGAUGCCUCUAGAUAAUUUAAAAAAUACUUCUAGUUUUCAUUUUACUGGAAACCUAAUACUUUGUGUGGCUACUACUGCAAUUUCAGCUGUUACAAGUAAGAUGAUUUGUUCAUUGAAAACCAAACACCUAUAAGGUUGUUUAUCAUAUGUUUAGAUUGAGUUUCAGAUGACAGUGCUUUCCCCAUAGUAUUAACCACACUGAAAUGCAAGUGAAUUAUAAAUUUAACCUUUUAUUCAAGACUCUAUCUUAUUUGAAUUUCACAGGACCAAUUUUCAAGCACAGUUUUCCCAUGUGAGCAGGCAGUGCAUAUUUUCUAGUCACUACCUUGAUUUGAGCCCAGUUAGGAGUUCUCAGUUUGUGCAAAUUCCAUUGUCCAUUUUAGCACACCUGAUUCAGUAACAUGUUGGAGCCAUUAUGAAUUCCUCUCAUGCACUUUAAUGUUUCCUGAGUAGUGGAAGUGUAAUUGUUGUUUGAAUAGCCAGACAUCUUUUGCCCUGAAGGCCCCCUCUGUGAAGAAUUUUUCACUCUGGUUUUGUAGUGCUAUGCCCUAGCCUAUCUUCUAACAACUUUAAUAGAAGUUUUUCUUUCUGUCAUAUCAGCAUUUA